rnacentral:tRNA from 1 species
GGGGAUAUAGCUCAGUGGUAGAGCACAUGCUUGGCAUGCAUAAGGUCCUGGGUUCAAUCCCCAGUGCCUCUG